UACGUAGGGGGCAAGCGUUAUCCGGAUUUACUGGGUGUAAAGGGAGCGUAGACGGCUGUGCAAGUCUGAAGUGAAAGGCAUGGGCUCAACCUGUGGACUGCUUUGGAAACUGUGCAGCUAGAGUGUCGGAGAGGUAAGUGGAAUUCCUAGUGUAGCGGUGAAAUGCGUAGAUAUUAGGAGGAACACCAGUGGCGAAGGCGGCUUACUGGACGAUGACUGACGUUGAGGCUCGAAAGCGUGGGGAGCAAACAGGAUUAGAUACCCUGGUAGUCCACGCCGUAAACGAUGACUGCUAGGUGUCGGGUAGCAAAGCUAUUCGGUGCCGCAGCUAACGCAAUAAGCAGUCCACCUGGGGAGUACGUUCGCAAGAAUGAA
rnacentral:rRNA from 1 species